rnacentral:misc_RNA from 1 species
AUGCAACCAGUGGCUGAUAAGCUGGUGAAUGCCAGAAUCAAUUACAGCCACAUAAGCUUUAGCCAGUUGCCAAAUGGAACCUUCAACGCCAUCUUCAGCUGGUGUGAAUACUUUGCUAAUGGGUCCGAGUUGAUCUCUCUCUGGAUGAGGCAGGCUUAAUUCAAUUGCAAGAGGCUUCAGAGUACCAUCACCUUUCAAGAAAAGUAAGGUCCUAGUUGCAUAUGUCUUUGUGGAAGUAGCAUUUAUACGCCUUAGGUAUGGCAUCACUGUGUCAUGGUGAUCUAAUAUGUAUAGCUUGUUGUUCUUGAUUGCCUUAACCACCAUUAAUGCAACAAAUGUUUUAGUUAUUGGUUUAUGGUGGUUGAUUAAAUUCAACUAAUCCCAACCAAGAACAUCCAUUGAUUUUGAUUGUAAACUCAAUUGUCAAAGAAACAAAUAGAGGAAAAUUACCUCAUCUAUGGUCAAUCCGUCUAGGCUAUUAUUUAUGUGUUCUUCAGUUAUUUGACUGUUUUGAUCACCAUAAAGUUUGCCGUCUAGCUUGCUUUUUGGAGGGAAUUCCUUGAGACAACGAAUGAUGACAGGGUUUACACCAGCCAGCAUUUCUCUGCCAAAUUCUUCAUCAGUCCUCCAUGCCGUCUUACUCUCUUUAAUUACUUGAGGCACUGGAAAUUUGAAAAGCCUCUCUCCAUCUGUUCGGAAAAUUUCCUUAAGCAUCUCCAGUGGAAUGUUUUUCCUUAUAUUAUCCAGUAAGGGGCCAUCAGGGAGCUCAAUCCCUCCCUCAUAGAGCUUUAAUACAUCGUCAAUAGAGUCAAAUUCAUUUGGGGUGCUGUCAAAUAGGGCUUCUAGUUCAGGUUUAAUAAAUUGAGCUAUAGAUUUCAGUGCAUAAGCAAGGAAGUCAGCCAUCUUCAGGUGACCAAAUCGUUCAUCUCUUGGAACAUAUAUGUUCAAGCUCAUCAGAAGCGGCAGCCUGCUUUCAUAGUUGAGAUCUGAUUUUGCUGGUGCUCUGCCAGUUCUUCCCCUGCGAGGAUAAGGGUACUCUGCAGAUCCUCCAAGAAUUGGGCGGACAUACUUUGGGCCCUUAUCAGGCUCUCCCAAAUCAUUAUAGAAAGCAUAAUCAUAGACACGAUCCCAUUCCUGAAGUUCUCCUUUUCCAUCUCCUCUCAAGUUCUCGAGUUCUUCCUCCCUGUAUUUGCGCAGUGGCAUUGGUGUCUCUUGUGGCAGAUACGUCUUGUUUGCAAAGAAAAUACGAUCUUUCUUGUAUCGUUCGGCAGGGUAAACCCAUGAGUUGCAGACAAAAUGGAUUCGACCUUGGCCAGGAACAUCUUCAAGGGUAAGAGUUUUCAGGUAAAAUUCACUGUGAUGAUUGUUUUUUAUGAUGAAUGCCCCUGGAACUCCAAUCUCAUCAUCCCAAUCAAAGGUAACUUUGAAUGCUGAGUCUCCUGGUGUUAAGGGAGCAAUUGUAGUAAUCCAGUCUUCCAAAUAUGCAGGCUCUCCUACUUUCCCCUGCAGACCAUUCUCUGCAGUCUCACUGCAGUUAACAGCACUAAUGAGUUGCAGAGAGACUCCUUGGCCAAGCAACUCAUGAACACGAUCAAGAACAGAAGCAUGGAAGUCAUUGAAGUCCAAAACAUUCUUUUUCAUCAAAACAACAGUACCUUUGAUCUUCUUGCACUCACCACUCAAACACUUUUUCUUAUUGCCAUUAUUGUCACCAGUAAUGGCAUCCACUAUGUUCUGAAACAUAUCCCUUGCUUCAGCAGCUAAACAAAGGAUCUAAUAGCAGUGGAGAGGUGUGUAUUAAAGGAAGUUUAAUUGGGUUUUUUGAUAGAUGUGGCACAAGGUUAUGGCUUGGUAUUUAUAGAGAGAAAAAUAAGAUUAUGCUACUACCAGCAACUUGUGGUCCUGACUAAGAAGCUUCACCUGUUCUUAUUGGAUAGUUUUUUUCUUUUAGAAAAUAAGAGUUUUUGUGAAGAUAGAAUACAAAUCUAGAGUAUUCAUAUCACUGUAUUUUACAAAGAAAAUUGAAGGUAAACUACCUGUAUAAAAAAUAUUAAUAAUUAUCUUAUUUAGAUUGAGUCUAUUAUAGACUCAAAAUAUAAGAUGCAUGAUAAGAUUCAUAUAUUUAAUAUAUAAGUCUUAACAUGUAUUUUAUAUCUUAGAUUUAUGAUGGACCCGAUCUAAGUAAGAAAAAUCUAAAUAGAAUAUUUGUGUUGUCUUAUGUUCCACUCGACUAAUACUAUUUGACUGCAAUGUCUUUUUGCAUCAAAUUUUGAUCAUUUAUCAAAGAAAAAAAUCUAUACCUCUUGUAAUCUUAUCAAAAUAUCAAAGCACAACACUUAAUAACUCUGCAAUAUGAAUAGAUAAUAAAG